AUUGAACGCUGGCGGCAGGCCUAACACAUGCAAGUCGAACGGUAACAGGAAACGGCUUGCUGUUUCGCUGACGAGUGGCGGACGGGUGUGUAAUGUCUGGGAAACUGCCUGAUGGAGGGGGAUAACUACUGGAAACGGUAGCUAAUACCGCAUAACGUCGCAAGACCAAAGAGGGGGACCCUCGGGCCUCUUGCCAUCGGAUGUGCCCAGAUGGGAUUAGCUUGUUGGUGGGGUAACGGCUCACCAAGGCGACGAUCCCUAGCUGGUCUGAGAGGAUGACCAGCCACACUGGAACUGAGACACGGUCCAGACUCCUACGGGAGGCAGCAGUGGGGAAUAUUGCACAAUGGGCGCAAGCCUGAUGCAGCCAUGCCGCGUGUAUGAAGAAGGCCUUCGGGUUGUAAAGUACUUUCAGCGGGGAGGAAGGGAGUAAAGUUAAUACCUUUGCUCAUUGACGUUACCCGAAGAAGAAGCACCGGCUAACUCCGUG
rnacentral:rRNA from 1 species